GCGGAAGCAGUUCAGUGGUAGAACAUCUGCUUUGCAGGCAGAAGAUCCCAGGUUUAACCCCCUGGAACUUCCACU
rnacentral:tRNA from 1 species